AUCUAGUUAACGAGUCCCAAAUAGAAUGAAACGUGCGUCCUGGAU
rnacentral:hammerhead_ribozyme from 1 species